rnacentral:rRNA from 1 species
CCAAUAGCGUAUAUUAAAGUUGUUGCAGUUAAAAAGCUCGUAGUUGAAUUUCGGGAUCAAUAUGUCGGUCGUGCCUCCGGUACGUACUGGCGUCAUUGGUUUCUCCCUUCUGAUGAACCACGAUGUCAUUAAUUUGGUGUCAUGGGGAAUCAGGACUGUUACUUUGAAAAAAUUAGAGUGUUUAAAGCAGGCUCACGCUUGAAUACAUUAGCAUGGAAUAAUGAAAUAGGACGUUUGAUUCUAUUUUGUUGGUUUUUAGGAUCGACGUAAUGAUUAAUAGGGAUAGUUGGGGGCAUUAGUAUUCAAUUGUCAGAGGUGAAAUUCUUGGAUUUAUUGAAGACUAACUACUGCGAAAGCAUUUGCCAAGGAUGUUUUCAUUAAUCAAGAACGAAAGUUAGGGGAUCGAAGACGAUCAGAUACCGUCGUAGUCUUAACCAUAAACUAUGCCGACUAGGGAUCGGAUGAUGUUAAUUUUUUAAUGACUCAUUCGGCGCCUUACG